ACCAGGAUGGCCGAGCGGAUAAGGCGUUGGAGUCAAGUUCCAAUGGAUGUAAAUCCUCGUGGGUUUGAACCCCACUCCUGGUA